UGGGGAAUUUUGCGCAAUGGACGAAAGUCUGACGCAGCAACGCCGCGUGAUUGAUGAAGCUUUUAGGAGUGUAAAGAUCUGUCGUGAGGGAAGAAAAACCUGGAUGUAAAUAAUGUUCGGGCGUGACGGUACCUCACAAGAAAGCACCGGCUAACUUAGUGCCAGCAGCCGCGGUAAUACUAGGGGUGCGAGCGUUGUCCGGAAUUACUGGGCGUAAAGGGUCCGUAGGCGUUUUGCUAAGUUGAUUGUUAAAUCCAUCGGCUCAACCGAUGACCUGCAAUCAAAACUGGCAGAAUAGAGUUCGAGAGGGGAAAGUAGAAUUCCUGGUGUAGCGGUGACAUGCGUAGAUAUCAGGAGGAACACCGAUGGCGAAGGCAGCUUUCUGGCUCGAUACUGACGCUGAGGAACGAAAGCGUGGGGAGCAAACAGG
rnacentral:rRNA from 1 species